rnacentral:rRNA from 1 species
GGACGAACGCUGGCGGCGUGCUUAACACAUGCAAGUCGAGCGGUAAGGCCCUUUCGGGGGUACACGAGCGGCGGAACGGGUGAGUAACACGUGGAUGACCUGCCUUUUAGCUCUGGGAUAAGCCUGGGAAACUGGGUCUAAUACCGGAUAUUGACCCUAUGGCGCAUGUUGUGGGGUGGAAAGCCUUGUGCGGCUAGGGAUGGGCCCGCGGCCUAUCAGCUUGUUGGUGGGGUGAUGGCCUACCAAGGCGACGACGGGUAGCCGGCCUGAGAGGCGACCGGCCACGCUGGGACUGAGACACGGCCCAGACUCCUACGGGAGGCAGCAUGGGGAAUCUUGCGCAAUGGGCGAAAGCCUGACGCAGCGACGCCGCGUGA